rnacentral:rRNA from 1 species
CCUACGGGUGGCAGCAGUGGGGAAUAUUGCACAAUGGGGGAAACCCUGAUGCAGCGACGCAGCGUGAGUGAAGAAGUAUUUCGGUUUGUAAAGCUCUAUCAGCAGGGAAGAAGCACGACGGUACCUGACUAAGAAGCCGCGGCUAACUACGUGCCAGCAGCCGCGGUAAUACGUAGGGGCCCAGCGUUAUCCGGAUUUACUGGGUGUAAAGGGAGCGUAGACGGCUGUGCAAGUCUGAAGGGAACGCACAGGGCGCAACCCUGGGACUGCGUUGGAAACUGUGGAGCUAGAGUGCUGGAGAGGUAAGUGGAAUGCCUAGUGUAGCGGUGAAAUGCGUAGAUAUUAGGAGGAACACCAGUGGCGAAGGCGGCUUACUGGACAGUAACUGACGUUGAGGCUCGAAAGCGUGGGUAGCAAACAGGAUUAGAUACCCGGGUAGUC